CUUCUCUUAUUUCUUCUACUCAAUAUUUUUCUCUGCUCAUCUGAAGUACUAUACCUUCCCGUCACUAAAGAUGCAUCAACUCUACAAUACAUUACAGAAGUAAGUCAAAGAACUCCUUUAAUUCCCAUAAAACUUUUAGUCCAUCUUGGUGGAAGAAGUUUAUGGGUGGAUUGUGACAAAGGUUUUAAAAGUUCAACUUACAAACCAGGUGUAUGUAAUUCUACACAAUGCACUUAUUCCAAUCCUAAUUACUGUGGUGACUGCAUAUUGAAACCAAAAUUGCAGCCUGGAUGCAACAACAAUAGUUGUUACAUUUGGGGUGAAAAUCCCUUGAUCGAUUGGUUUGACGAUAGCGCUGAAAUUGCUGAUGAUGUAUUGGUUAUUGGUUCAACUCCUGGUGUUCGUGUAACUUGGCCGCGGUUUAUUUUCGCUUGCUUUGUUAGUCCCAAUAUGGUGAGACUUCUCGCCAAUGGAGUCACAGGUAUUGAAUUAUACUACUAAUCAUUGUACUUGAUUUCAUUUAUCAGUUCAAUUUUUUGUUUAUUAUUUUGCCGAAUCAUUAAACUUAUUAAUUAGAUUACAACAUUUGACAUUUCUUCUAAUCAUUGACCAAACUUAUGUAACAUUAGCGUUGCUAAGUUGAAAAAAUGCAUGAUUGCACAUAUUUUGAAGACAAAUAAAUUUAAUAUUUUACAUUAAAAAUAUUAAAAUUAAAAAAAAAUUCAAUUUUAAAAAGUUAAAAAACUUAUCUUCUUCCUCAAUCAUUUCUCCCUCCAAACCCAACCCCCAACUUUCUUCAUCACCAACCCUCUUUUCUCUGCCCCCACGACACCCCACCCCACCCCGCACCCCAACUUUUUUCUUCACUAGCCCCCCAAGCAAUUCCUUUUGUCUUGCACAAACAAAUCACAAACAGUUUUAUAUAAUGAUCAAAUUAAAAAAAUGUCACGUUUUUUUAUCCUCACACGUCAUUAGGUGGGUGACGGGGGUUAAUUUCAACUAUAAACAAGUAUAGUGAUUAGUGGCCAAGAAGUCUCCUAGGAAGUUUUUUUUAACCACACAAGUGUUAUGACAUGUAUAAUUAAAUUCUUAAAUUUCAAAAGUCUUAUAUAAUCAUACAAAAUACAAAUAUUAUGAAAUGCUUAAAAAAAUAAACAUUAAAUGUCUUUAUUUAAGAAAGAAAGAAAAACAUUUGAAACUUAUGAACUAAAAUGAGUGAAAAAUAUUUAUGCUACUAUAAAUUAUUUCAUCAAGAUGAAAUAGAUAUUUUAAAGUUAAAUUAUUGCUCAACAUAGAAAUGUGUCAUUCUUUCGAAGACAGAUUAAAAAAAAAGCUAGUCAUAUAAAUUGAGACAGAUAGAAUAGUGCAUCUUAAACUGUGUCAAAUCAAAGAGCUACUAAAUAAAUUAGGAUAGAGGAGUGAUCGACCAUUUUUGUGAAGAUAUAUUUUGAUUUUCAGGUGACAACGAGAUCCAUAUAUAACCUCUUCUUUAAAAGGACACUUUUUAAUUAUUCAAAUUGUAUUCUAUCUUAUCAGGAAUUGCAGGUUUUGGACGUGAAAGUCCAAUUUCCAUUCCAAAUCAACUUGCUUUAGAUCCUAGAUUCACCAAGAAAUUUGGUAUAUGUUUGAGCUCAUCUACAACAUCUCGUGGAGUUAUAUUCAUCGGUUCUGGUCCAUAUUAUGUUUACAAUCCUAAGAAGAUCGAUAUCUCAAACAAUAUUCUCUACACCAAAUUAAUCGCAAAUAAAAAUGCAUUUUUGGUAACUCAAGAGUACUAUAUCCAAGUUUCAUCCAUUAAAAUUGCGGGACAAGAUAUUCCACUAAAUAAAACAUUGCUAUCUAUUAAUAAAAAAGAUAUAGAUGGUGGGACGAGAAUCAGCACAGCGUCACCUUACACAAUUUUGCACCCUAGCAUUUACGAUGCUUUUAAAACUGCUUUCAUCAACGCGCUUCCAAAGAAUGUGGCACUUGUAGAGUCUCCUAUGAAACAAUUUGGACUUUGCUUUAGUUCGAAAAACAUUAAAAGUACCAACGUUGGACCAGCUGUUCCUGUGAUAGAUAUUGUGUUGCACAAGCCGAGUGCAUUUUGGAGGAUUUAUGGAACAAAUUCAGUGGUACAAGUUAGUAAGGAUGUUAUGUGUUUAGCAUUUGUGAAACAAGAUGAAGAAAGGGAACCAUCAAUUGUUAUAGGAGGACAUCAAUUGGAAGAGAACCUAUUGAUAUUUGACCUUCCUGGAAAGAAGAUUGGUUUCAGCUCAUCACUUAAACUUCAACAAACAUCAUGCUCUCAGUACGACAAUACCAUUCUAGGCUAAGCCCCUCUAUUCUAUAUAUGUAAUUUUCUAUUUCAAUAAUAAACUAGAUGGUCGGUGCCCGUGCAUUGCAUAGGCGUAUGACUUAUAUCGUUUUAUAUGUUAUUCUUCAUAAUUUCCUAUUUGGAUAAUAAAUUAGAUGUUCUAACUUCUAUAUACAAUUGAUAAACCAAUGUACGAGAUCUAUCAUUUUGCUGACUCAAAGAGUUGAUAGUAUAGUCAUGCAGUCCAUGGAUCGAUCCUCUAACCGGCUAUAUAUUUAGAUUACCAUUAGAGCCGUCAAUAUGGGCUAGGCUCGUUGGACUGGCUUGACCUAGUCUGUGAUUUGAUAGGGCUGAACUACGAGUUUUGGAGCCCAUUUAAGAAAAGAGUUUUUUAGCCCGGUCUGAAUAAGUCUGUCGAUUUGUGGAGCUUGAGAAAUAUGGAUAGAGCCGGUCCAUGGGCCAAAUAAAAAUUAAUUAAAAAAUAAUAAUAAGAUAGAGUAUUAAAAAUAACAAGAGUCUAAACUCAAAUCUGUUUAAAGUUUGAAAUAUUACAAUUUAAAAUCGGUCAUAGUUUUUGUGUUUUAUUACGAUCAUUGGAAAACAAUUAGGUUAUAUUUCUAUUUAGCUAUUUAUACUUUUACUUGAAAUCAAACUUAAUAAAUAUUAUAAAGAUAAUUUUAUUUGUGUAUUUAAUUAACAAAUAGUAACACUAACACCAUGUAAUAUUGUCUUGUCGAUAUUUAUGAUAAUAAAAAUUAUAAAAAAUAUACUUUUAAGAAAAAAGGGUUGGCCCGGCAAAGCCCGUAGCCCACGCACUUGUGGGAGCCUAUAGCCCACAUACUUAUGGGCUGAGCCGACAAUUUUCUAGCCCACACAAAAAAUGGGCUAGUCCGGCUUGGCCCGUCAAAUUUCAAAGCCUGUAUGGGUUAGCCCGGAUGGGGUGGGCCAACCCAUAUUGACAGCUCUAAUUACCAUCAUGACUACAUCUAGAGCCGUCAAAAUAGGUUUAGCCCAUGGGAUCGGUCCAAUCCAACUCGUUAUUGGGGUACGGUUGAGAUAGAUUUUUUCAAGCCCAUUUAAAAUUAGGGCUUAUGAUCCUUUAGCCCUUAAGGCUUGAUCAGGGCCGAGUUGGGGUCGGCCCAUGGGCCAAAACUAUUUAUUUAAGAGUAACUUACAUAAAUUUCUCUAGUGUAUGAGCUGAUUACUUAAAGGUACGUUAUGUUGUAAUAUUACGAAUCUUAUCAGAUUUUGGUAUGUCCAAAUACAUGUAUCUCGGGAUACAUGGACUCAAAAUUAGGUUAAUUUGUUCUAGAUACACUCUAUCUAGGAUACAUAGAUAAAUCUCGCACCCUCGCCACUCUCUAAUCUCACUCGCGUAUCUGGGGUGCAUCACACCAGAUACUGAGAUACAUAUAUCUAGUAUCCAAGAUACAUGCUAAUCACACUAUACUUUUUGCCAGUGUUAUUAAAACAACACCAUUAUUUGCCAUAUUUGAUUUGAAAAUCUUCUCAUCUUCUUGAUGUUAUACAAUUUUAAGUUUGAAAAGAUAAAAAACAAAAAAAGAAGGGCUAGCCCACCCCAGCAAGAAUAAUCUAACUGAUUUGUUCCACAGAACAUAUCAUACUUUCCUUAUCUCACGUUCUAUCUCUAAUUUUGUUAUAAUCUCAAAUUCCAUUAGCAAUUAUCCAUUUACCUAUUGGUAGCUAAGCAAGUAAGCAACAGAGAAAUAAGCAUAGUAUUAAGAGGAGAAAACUUUGACCGUAAAAGUCCGCAAUAACAACCAAUAUAUCAAAUUAUACAACGUUCAUAGUAUGGUCAUAACCCCCUAAAAAGGACUUUUAGUCAUUUAAUAUCUGAUUACAAAGCAAUAAUUCAAAUAAGAAAAAAGAAAUGAAGUAAGUAAAAAGCAAGAAAGUAAAUCCUAGAUAAUUUGCUCUUUGUUAUUGCUCUGUGCCUCAACAUUCAACAAUAUUUAUCUCCCUUUAAAAAUGAUUAAGGAUGAGCAUUUAUAAUAUUUAAUAAAAACAUCUAGAAGGGUCCUCCAAGUCGAUCUAUUCAAUCCAUUUCUCCUUUAAACCAUGUUACAUAUUUAAUCAUAAUUUUUUUAUUGAUAAACAAGAUCUGCACACAUUUUGUUACCGCACACAGAUACAAAAUAGUCUUUUUUUGUUUUUAUAAUCUAUUUUCACAAAUCAGGUAGCUAGUCCCAGUACAUCAAUACUGGUGGUGGUUAAUUAACUGCAUUUACCUUUUGAGCCAACAGACUAAAAAAAACCUCCCACUAUUCUUGUUUAAAAGGAUAUUUUGAAAAACUUAAAAUUUAAUUUGGUACAUAGUUAACUCUACUACUUUCAAUAACUAUUAAGUACUAUAAGUUUUGAACCCAUAAUAACACAAAUGCGAUGAAAAUAUAAACAUUCAACGACCACCACAUGAUGGGCGGCCUCCUUCCUUAAUCAAAGGUUUCGGUUCGAGCCCUGAUAUAAAAAAAUCUUUACCCCACCACUUAGUCCCGAAUGAAGCCCUAUACAAUGUAAAUUCGAAAUAGUCAGAUUUCAACGUCGAUAAAAAAAUAAAAUAUUCAACGCAUUAAUUAAAUUCACGUUUGAAAAUUGAGAUUAGAUGUCAACAUCAAGAAUCUCAAAUACGCGUAUAAAUCUGUCCAUGUGCAUGAGAUAACUCCAUGCUGACUAGAUUUUAUUCAAAGUCAAAGUUUUGACUUGUGAUCAUAUACUCUCUCCUGUACAUUUUACUUUCUUUUGCACACAGAAAAACAUGAAUUAAAAGCUACUCCCUGUCCCAAUUUAUGUGACCUACUUAUAAAAAAAAUAACAUAUUUUUAUAUUAAGUAAUAAUUUAACUAUAAAUGUCUAUUUUACCCUUAAUGAAAUGAUUUACAACCACACAAAUUUUUAUCAUUCAUUUUGGAUCACAAAUUUUAAAAGUCUUUCUUUCUUUCUUAAACUCCAUGCCGAGCCAAACUACCUCACAUAAAAUGGGACGGAGAGGGAGUAAUAUAAUUUAAUUAUUUUUAUUUAAUUUUAUUUUGAUCUAUUACUACUUUUUUUAAUCAUAAUAAUUUCUCUUUAUAUUUAUUGAGUAAUUAUCAAAUUAAAUUUUUUGUUAUUAAUUUUAUUUUGAUUUUCUUGAUCGGACUAUUUUUGAUAAACACGGCAUCUAAUAUGGACCAGAAAGAGUAAGAAAUACGGAACCAUUAUACAGCUUCACUAAAUGUCAACGGAAAUAAACAAAAGAAUCCAUAUAGACUAUAGUUGUCUAAGCUUAUUCUCUUACUAUAAAUUUGCAACUCCAUACUUAGAAUUUCUCAUUGGUCUAAUAAUCCAUUUACUUUUUUGUCUUUCUUUGUUUAGCAUGGUGACAUUCAAACUUCCUUUAUCUAUGCUUCUUUUAUUCCUUCUACUCAAUAUUUUUCUAUGCUCAUCUGAAGUACUAUACAUUCCAGUCACUAAAGAUGCAUCAACCCUAGAAUACAUUAUAGAAGUAGGUCAAAGAACUCCUUUAAUCCCCAUAAAACUCUUAAUCAAUCUUGGUGGUAGAAGCUUAUGGGUGGAUUGUGACAAAGGUUACAAAAGUUCAACUUAC
rnacentral:lncRNA from 1 species